GUAAUACAUCGGAACGUGCCCAGUCGUGGGGGAGUAACUACUCGAAAGAGUAGCUAAUACCGCAUACGAUCUGAGGAUGAAAGCGGGGGACCUUCGGGCCUCGCGCGAUUGGAGCGGCCGAUGGCAGAUUAGGUAGUUGGUGGGAUAAAAGCUUACCAAGCCGACGAUCUGUAGCUGGUCUGAGAGGACGACCAGCCACACUGGGACUGAGACACGGCCCAGACUCCUACGGGAGGCAGCAGCU
rnacentral:rRNA from 1 species